AUUUGAGCUCCUCUUUUUUCGUGCAAAGUGACUGCUGGUAAGCUAGAGACUAUUUCCUAGUCCCUGGCAUCUUUGGAAGGGCUAGGGGGGUUAUGACUACAUACAUUUUAUUGCUCCCCAUAACACAGAACCAUCUAAGGCAGCAGUUCAGGCGUGUGUAGCUGAAGAUGGAAGGUUGAGGCCUCGUGAAUGAGCUUGCAUGAAACCAGAAUUGAUGAAGUUGUUUGGGUGCACUCCCUGGAGGAAACCUGGAAUGGAGCUUGCAAUAGCUUUGCUUGCCUGCCUGUCCUGUAGCUCUGCCCAGCUUCUUCCAUCUUUCCAAGAGGAGAAGAAGAGUUGUGAGGGCUUCUUCACACCCCACAGGCUGAGAUAACAAGCCAAGCCCUCCUUCUCUUUCCCUCUUCCCAAGUGUCAGAGUAUCUUCAGGCAAGAGCCCUCAUUUCCUAGCAAAAUCUUACACUUUGGGGAGCACUUAUUCUCCUGAAGAUAAUCUACCAUUAAAGGUCU